AUUGAACGCUGGCGGCAUGCUUUACACAUGCAAGUCGAACGGUAACAGGCCGCAAGGUGCUGACGAGUGGCGAACGGGUGAGUAAUGCAUCGGAACGUGCCCAGUCGUGGGGGAUAACUACUCGAAAGAGUAGCUAAUACCGCAUACGAUCUAUGGAUGAAAGCGGGGGACCGUAAGGCCUCGCGCGAUUGGAACGGCCGAUGUCAGAUUAGGUAGUUGGUGGGGUAAAGGCUUACCAAGCCAACGAUCUGUAGCUGGUCUGAGAGGACGACCAGCCACACUGGGACUGAGACACGGCCCAGACUCCUACGGGAGGCAGCAGUGGGGAAUUUUGGACAAUGGGCGCAAGCCUGAUCCAGCAAUGCCGCGUGCAGGAAGAAGGCCUUCGGGUUGUAAACUGCUUUUGUACGGAACGAAACGGCUCUGGUUAAUACCCGGGGCUAAUGACGGUACCGUAAGAAUAAGCACCGGCUAACUACGUG
rnacentral:rRNA from 1 species